CUCCAGCUGCUCUAAGCAGUGUACCAAAUAAGCGCAAGAGCGUUGCUAAGGGCUAUCCCCCUAAGCAGUAGUGAAGGACCCAAAACCAGGAGGUUGUGGUGACUUGGUGAUUGCCAGGGGAAAAAAUAUCUCCUUUGCACCUUGAUUUGUUUUAAUAAACAUUUGAAUACUAGAGCAA